GUAGUACUCCCUCCGUUCCAAAUUACUUGUCGUUGAUAUGGAUGUAUCUAAAACUAAAAUACAUCUAAAUACAUCCAUACCUGCGACAAGUAAUUCGGAACGGAGGGAGUACGUG
rfam:Triticum aestivum genome assembly, contig: Triticum_aestivum_CS42_TGACv1_scaffold_093227_2AL